UCUUCACAGCAUUUUGAGCCCUGCACGUCUUACUAUGUAUGGCCUAACUUUUUUAACCCUUAUAACUAAUUCCUGUUCCAAAAUCGAGCCAGAGGGCUCUUCCUUUAAGUAUUCCCUCCCCCCCCCCACGGUUUGGCAGUUCUGUAGUGAUGCUUUUAAAGGGCAGAAUUCAAAAUGCCAGAGAAGAUGGUAAGUUACUUACUUAAAAAUAAAAACUACUACUACUGUUGGGAUGAAUUGAUGGCAGCCUUAGGAUCGGAGGUCCACUUUGCACAGAACAGAAGGAGCAAAGUAUUCGUCUUCACACUACUUGUCUUCAGACUGGCAGUAUCUCUCAGCCCUGACUUGUAUGGAUUGCUCCAGGCCCUUGAAAAGACUUGCUCUCUCUUCAAAGAACACCAAAAAUGGUGUUAACAGGAAAGCAAUGUGGUCAAGAAGACAGGGCACUAGGCUGGGAGACAGGAGACUGGGAUUCUAUUUCUGGUUCUGCCACUGUUCUGCGGAGUGAUCUUGGGAAAUAACAAAGCUCUUCAGCAUACAAGGCCUGACAGAAUUGGCUCCAUCUGAUUGCUGGUUAGCAGGAUUAUAUGGCAUUUUUUCUCUUUUCAUGUCUAAACCCUGGCCUCAUCCAUUAGCUAAUUCAAUGCAUUACAUACUGUGCAGAACAAAGGAUGCAACAAAGAAAUAAAAGAUUUUGCUUCGAAAGAUCCUGUGCAAUAGCUGGGAAAAAAUAAUGCAACCAAUAUCAUGGUUGAAAUAGUGAGAUUUAUUUGUGAGAUUA